UACGAAGGGGGCUAGCGUUGCUCGGAAUUACUGGGCGUAAAGGGCGCGUAGGCGGACAGCUUAGUCAGAGGUGAAAGCCCAGGGCUCAACCUUGGAAAUGCCUUUGAUACUGGCUGUCUUGAGUUCGGGAGAGGUGAGUGGAAUGCCGAGUGUAGAGGUGAAAUUCGUAGAUAUUCGGCGGAACACCAGUGGCGAAGGCGACUCACUGGCCCGGUACUGACGCUGAGGUGCGAAAGCGUGGGGAGCAAACAGG
rnacentral:rRNA from 1 species